rnacentral:rRNA from 1 species
GACGAACGCUGGCGGCGUGCUUAACACAUGCAAGUCGAACGGAAAGGCCCUGCUUUUGUGGGGUGCUCGAGUGGCGAACGGGUGAGUAACACGUGAGUAACCUGCCCUUGACUUUGGGAUAACUUCAGGAAACUGGGGCUAAUACCGGAUAGGAGCUCCUGCUGCAUGGUGGGGGUUGGAAAGUUUCGGCGGUUGGGGAUGGACUCGCGGCUUAUCAGCUUGUUGGUGGGGUAGUGGCUUACCAAGGCUUUGACGAGUAGCCGGCCUGAGAGGGUGACCGGCCACAUUGGGACUGAGAUACGGCCCAGACUCCUACGGGAGGCAGCAGUGGGGAAUAUUGCACAAUGGGCGGAAGCCUGAUGCAGCAACGCCGCGUGCGGGAUGACGGCCUUCGGGUUGUAAACCGCUUUCGACUGUGACGAAGCGUGAGUGACGGUAAUGGGUAAAGAAGCACCGGCUAACUACGUG